rnacentral:rRNA from 1 species
UACGGGGGGGGCUAGCGUUGUCCGGAAUUACUGGGCGUAAAGGGCGCGUAGGCGGUCUAUUAAGUUGGAUGUGAAAACUCUGGGCUUAACCCAGAGCCUGCAUUCAAAACUGAUAGGCUGGAGUUCUGGAGGGGAUAGCGGAAUUCCUGGUGUAGCGGUGAAAUGCGUAGAUAUCAGGAGGAACACCGGUGGCGAAGGCGGGUCUCUGGGCCGUAACUGACGCUGAGGAGCGAAAGCGUGGGGAGCGAACAGG